GACGAACGCUGGCGGCGUGCUUAACACAUGCAAGUCGAGCGGGAAGCUUCGGUUUCCAGCGGCGGACGGGUGAGUAACACGUGGGCAACCUGCCUCACAAUGAGGGAUAGCCUUCCGAAAGGAAGAUUAAUACCUCAUAACACAAGAGAAACGCAUGUUUCUCUUGCCAAAGAAUUUCGUUGUGAGAUGGGCCCGCGGCGCAUUAGCUUGUUGGUGAGGUAACGGCUCAACAAGGCUUCGAUGCGUAGCCGACCUGAGAGGGUGAUCGGCCACAUUGGAACUGAGACACGGUCCAGACUCCUACGGGAGGCAGCAGUGGGGAAUAUUGCACAAUGGAGGAAACUCUGAUGCAGCAACGCCGCGUGAGUGAUGAAGGUCUUCGGAUUGUAAAGCUCUGUCUUCUGGGACGAUAAUGACGGUACCAGAGGAGGAAGCCACGGCUAACUACGUGCCAGCAGCCGCCGUAAGAC
rnacentral:rRNA from 1 species